GUUGAACGCUGGCGGCAGGCUUAACACAUGCAAGUCGAGCGGAGAGAGGUAGCUUGCUACUGAUCUUAGCGGCGGACGGGUGAGUAAUGCUUAGGAAUCUGCCUAUUAGUGGGGGACAACAUUUCGAAAGGAAUGCUAAUACCGCAUACGUCCUACGGGAGAAAGCAGGGGAUCUUCGGACCUUGCGCUAAUAGAUGAGCCUAAGUCGGAUUAGCUAGUUGGUGGGGUAAAGGCCUACCAAGGCGACGAUCUGUAGCGGGUCUGAGAGGAUGAUCCGCCACACUGGGACUGAGACACGGCCCAGACUCCUACGGGAGGCAGCAGUGGGGAAUAUUGGACAAUGGGCGCAAGCCUGAUCCAGCCAUGCCGCGUGUGUGAAGAAGGCCUUAUGGUUGUAAAGCACUUUAAGCGAGGAGGAGGCUACUUUAGUUAAUACCUAGAGAUAGUGGACGUUACUCGCAGAAUAAGCACCGGCUAACUCUGUGCCAGCCGCCGCGGUAAAAC
rnacentral:rRNA from 1 species